GCAGGAAGUAGGUCACUGUUGGACAGGUGCCUUUGAAGGUGGUUCUGUCUAGUCCCCAGUUCUGUCCUCUGCCCUGCUUCCUGCCCACUACGAGGUGAAGAGUCCCCUCCAGUGUUCUGGUGGCCAUGAUGUCUGCCUCCCUACGAACCCAGAAUCAACAGAACCAAAGACCGUGGAUGGAGACCUCAGUUGUUCGCACACGCAUGAGGAGAGUUGAGUUAACACAUCGGGAUUAUGACGUAAACCACGAGGUGUGUGGACGGUCCCGGGCAAGUGUUAUUUCCGUGCUGCUGAUUUCUCCUUCGAAGGCUUGCGGUUGAGCUGCUGCUUCGAAAACCCUUUGGGACAAGAACUGCAUCUGGUGACUCCUUCCAUUCCCCAACACCACAUGGCAUUGGACUUUGCACACCGAGUUCGGCAGAUAACACGUUAAAUAAAU
rnacentral:lncRNA from 1 species